UCACUCUUGUUUCUCUUCAGAUCGUACAAAUCUUUCGCCUUUUACUAAAGAUUUCCGUGGGGAGGAACAACAAGGGUUAGAGCUAUAGCUAGGGUUAGAGCUAGGCGUGUAGCUAG